rnacentral:rRNA from 1 species
UACGUAGGUGGCGAGCGUUGUCCGGAUUUACUGGGCGUAAAGGGAGCGUAGGCGGACUUUUAAGUGAGAUGUGAAAUACUCGGGCUCAACUUGAGUGCUGCAUUUGAAACUGUGUUUCUUGAGUGCUGGAGAGGCAAUCGGAAUUCCGUGUGUAGCGGUGAAAUGCGUAGAUAUACGGAGGAACACCAGUGGCGAAGGCGGAUUGCUGGACAGUAACUGACGCUGAGGCGCGAAAGCGUGGGGAGCAAACAGG